rnacentral:sRNA from 1 species
UCGUUGAAGUGGCUGUGGCCUUGGAGUGGGUAUGGCCUUUUUGAGUAGAUGUGGUCUUGGAGGAGAUGUGGCACUGUAAGAGUGGGCUUUGAGGUCUCCUAUGCUUAAAUUCCACCCAGUGUCAAAUUCCAGUCUCUUCCUGGCUGCCUUUGGAUCAAGAUGUAGAGCUCUGUGCUCCUCCAGCAUCAUGUCUACCUGUACACUGCCAUAUUUCCUGCCAUGACAUUAAGGGACUGAACCAGUAAACCGAAAUCACCAAAGAUUAUCAUCACAGCCUGGGAGUGGAGCCAUCUCCGCACUUGGUGACAAGGUCCAGCCCAGUGACCUCUCAAACCUCAACAUGCUUAGGAGCCACCUGCCAGUGUAAAGUUCCAAAACUGGGCAGCAAGACCUUAGAGCUCCAAGGAGUUCCCAGGUCAGGCAGUCGGAAGUCCCACCCAGAAGAGGCCAAUCUUCCCCAGUGACCACCUGGUUCACACAGGCUCUUUCCCACCAGAUGCAAGCCAGGGCCACAUAGACUAGGCAAGUGCUCCACAACUGUACUAGUCUGACCUCUACGUUGUCUCCUUUCUGGGGUUUCCAGUCUCUCACCCAGCUUCAGGCAAAGCCUGACCACCCACCAUCAGUCCACCUGCUUUCCAGAGAGCUGACUGAGGCACCAAGGGAGGCAGAAGGUCUGCAGGGCACUUUCGAGCCCCUGGCACAAUCGCUACAUAAAAGUGAUGCCCCGUGUAGCCCCUGGACCAAAUGGCUCAGAGCACUACCUUCUGAGGCCAC